rnacentral:rRNA from 1 species
GAUGAACGCUGGCGGCGUGCCUAAUACAUGCAAGUCGAGCGAACGGACGAGAAUCGUUCUUCUCUGAUUUUAGCUUCUUACGGGUGAGUAACACAUGGAUAACCUACCUAUGAGACUGGUAUAACUUCGGGAAGCCUGAGCUAAUGCCGUAUGAUCUUUUGAACCGCAUGGUUCAAGAGUGAAAUACGGUCUUGGUAUCACUUAUAGAUGGAUCCGCUCUGCAUUAGCUAGUUGGUAAAGUCACUGCUUACCAAGGUAACGAUGCAUAGGGCACCUGAACGGGUCGUCGGCCAGACGGGAUCUGAGACACGGUCCCGACACCGACGCGAGGAAGCAGUAGGGAAUCUUACGGGAUGCAGGAAAGCCUGAUGGAGCAAAGCCGCGUGAGUGAUGAAGGUCUUAGGACGCGAAAAGGAUGUAAUUAGGGAAGAACAAAUGUGCAAGUAACUGUGCACAUAGUGACGGUACCUAACCAGAAAGCCCCGGCUAACUACGUG